UUUUUUUUUUUAUUAUUUUUUUCCAACUCAACUUUUUUUAAGAUGUUAAAAAUUUUAUUAGAGAGAGAGAGAGAGAGAGAGAGAGAGUGAGCAUGAGCUGGGGAAGGGGCAGAGGGAGAGGGAGAGGGAGAAGCAGGCACUGAGCAAGAUGCCCAAUGCAGGGCUCUAUCCCAGGACCCUGGGAUCAUGACCGGAACUGAAGGCAGAUGCUUAACCAACUGAGACACCCAGGCACUCCUCAAUUCAACUUCUAAUGUGUGAAACAUCCAGGUAAAUUUCAAAGGAAGGAACUGUAGGGGUUAAGGGCAGACUACCCAAGACAGACCACUUUGGCAUGCAGAUUAUGACUAGCUGAAAAUAAUCAAGGCCCAAGACUCAGGAAGAAACUUUGACCCCUUUCCCCAACAACAACUGUGUAAAAAAAUUUAGAUAAAGGACUUACUCCGGGAAGAGAGCUAGCACCAUACAUAACUACAUAAUAAUAUGAACUAGAUACGGUAGACACAGAACAUAGCAAGGCCUGUUUGAUCAAAGUCUUCUAUGUGCAAUUGUUCCUGAGUUGCCCAGAAAACAUUUGUUUACCAAACAUUUACUCUUUUUUAAUCUUCCUGUCAAUUGUAUUACUUUUUCUUUGACGUCCUAGACUCCUACUCUCUUCUCCUUAGUUCGGGAUGACAAAUACACCUCAUGUUGCCUGUCCUUUGGAAUCUCAUGUCUAGUGAGAUUCCCUGUACAUACAAAAUUAAGUUUGAUUUUCAGCUGUUAAUCUGUCUCAUGUCAAUUUAAUUAUUAGUCCAGUUAGAACAAUCUUCAAGGGCAUAGAAAAUAUUUUCCUCUCCAACACCUCCCACUAUCCAGUCUUUUUUUUUUUUUUUUUUACCAUAAUAAUACAAAUGUUAGGUAGACAGAAAUACUACCCAGAAUAAAACCCCAUCUGGCAAUAUUUGGAUAGAGGCAAAGAGAAGUCAGAUGUUACAGGCUGGAAUGCUGUGUUCCUUAUUAUGCUGUAUGAAACAUUUAGUAACAGCAUCCACCAUCUGUGAUACCUUCAAAGGCAAACUAUAUCCCAGCCAAGGAGAAACUAGAAAAGAUUCAGUGUUGACAUAUGUUGGCUGCUUCUUGCUGUUUUUAGCACAGUCCUAUGAAAGCACUGAGCUCAUGCAGGAGCUGGACAGUUUGAGGCAAAAUGGGAGGGAAUACAGCUCUGAUUAGGGGGCUAUUUUCUGCUUGCUGUCUAAAAUUUGAUCUUAGUGGAGAAAAAAAAAAA
rnacentral:lncRNA from 1 species